rnacentral:rRNA from 1 species
GGGGGGGGGGGGCGGGGGGGCGGGGGGGGGCGGGGCGGGCGGGCGGGGGGAGAGCGGGCGGGUAGGCGGGUGGCGGCGGGCGGGUGAGUGACGCGUGGGCAGCCUGCCUGGAAGACGGGGAUCACGCCGGGACACCGGGGCUCAGACCCGAGCGUUUUUUCCUCCGCAUGGCGGAAAGAGGAACGGCGGCGUCGGCUGCCCAUUCCGGAUGGGCCCGCGGCGCAUUAGCUAGUUGGCGGGGUAACGGCCCACCAAGGCACCGAUGCGUAGCCGACCUGAGAGGGUGAUCGGCCGCAUUGGGACUGAGACACGGCCCAAACUCCUACGGGAGGCAGCAGUAGGGAAUCUUCCGCAAUGGACGAAAGUCUGACGGAGCAACGCCGCGUGAGUGAAGAAGGCCUUCGGGUCGUAAAACUCUGUUGCCGGGGAAGAACAAGUGCCGUUCGAACAGGGCGGCGCCUUGACGGUACCCGGCCAGAAAGCCACGGCUAACUACGUG